rnacentral:lncRNA from 1 species
UGCAGUAGUUUCUGAUAUUUUUUCUCUGAAUGCAUAUAUUUUCCCACUGUUUUUGUUUUUAGAUCUCACAGUGAAAUCAAGCAAGGAGGCAGUUGAUAUUGUUGGGAGGAUUGCAGAUGAAAAGGAGAGCAUCACAGUUCCAGUUAGGAUGAAGGUUCUCAGCUACAAUGAAAAGGGUGAACACAUGCCCAACCUUGGCCUUGGCUUAGAGACGGCACAGGAACAGCAGUAUGUGACUGUGAUUCCCAAGGCUGCACACAGAUUCCUUUGUGGAAAGGACAAUUUGGCUGAGAAAAGAGGCAGAGGUCCAGUUUGGAGAUUAUCACAAGAGUCUAUGAAUAGAAUGAAAACUGCAAUAGAAGAGUCCAAUGAGAAAUAUGGAUUAGUAUUUCUGUAUUUCUGUACGUAUCCUUUUUUGGCUUCAAGUAAGUUCUGUGGAAAUUUAUUUAUAUUUUAAUACACCAUUCUUUGUGUUCCCAUGUAGCACUGUCUGAAUGAAGUCAGACCCUUACCUAAGUCUGAAUACACAUGCUUUGUUUGACAUGAACUGAAACAUUCAAUGGGAGUAAAAUUCUCGGGUGAAAAGAAACCUGCUUUUCAUGUCAUGCCUUGUGCAAUCGUUACAGUAGGGGGCCAGUGGGAAAGUUCAAAUAGGGAAGUUCUAAAUCCUAAAACCCACUUUAAUAUCCACAAGGUCAAUUCACCAUAAAUAUUUUCUUGCAUGAACUUUCCAGUUGUCCGAGACUGCACACUCAUGAUAUUUCUCCAAGGCCUUCUGGAUUUUGCAGGUCUCUGCUUUUCCAGGAUGGGAAAUUUACCUUAAAGAAAGCCUGAGUGUUGGGAUUCAAGGGGAGAAAAUUUAUCUGCACUUCUUGAAAAAGACACCAGAUAUGACCUCAUUUCUCAACAUUCUUCUCUAAAGGCAAAAAACAGGAAUGGUAUAGAAUUUGCAGAUAACACAAAAUCCAAGUCCUAUAUCUGGGCAUAAGUGAGGAUUACUAAGGGAUAGAAAUUCUACAGGAUGGUCUGCAGAAUCAUUGCCAAAUGCCCGUGAACUUGUAUGAGCAAGUGUAUUCAUUUCCCUGCUACUGCUGAAACAAAUGACCACAACCUGGAUGGCUUAAAACAACAGAAAGGUAUUGUUUUACGGUUCUGGAGGCUAAAAUCUGAACUCAAGGAGUUGGCAGGGCCAUGCUUUCUCUGAAGACUCUGGGAAAUGAUUCUUUGUUGCCCCACCCAGUGAUUGCCAGUCAUCCUUAUCAUUCAUUUCUUGGCUUGGCUUAUGGCCUCUUAACUCCAAUCUCUGUCUCCACCUGCCAUCCUCCUUCUGAGUCUUCUGUCUCUGUCUGGGGGACAAAAGUCAGACUGGAUUUAGGACCCAAUGCAGUAUGACCUCAUCUUGAUUACAUACAUAGGGACACCAUCCAAAUAAGAUCACAUUCACAAUUGCAUCUAGAAGACACCACUCAAUGCAUAUGAAGGACUAACUGAUACACAGAAAGGUGAAUUCAGGCUCCUUGUCACCCAACGUACCUGCAAGCUAAUCUCAUAAAAGGCCAGCACACAAAGGGCUGGAGAUCUGAAGUCAUGUGGACAGUUGGACAUAGUCAAACAUAAGUAAAAAUAACUAGAUCCUAUUUUCAACCAAAAAUCCUACAAUUCAUUCCUGAACUCUUUGUGUAUCAAUAAAUGCAUGCCCUAUUUUAUUCA